AUAAUGACAAUUAACCAUUACAUCCCAUCUUCCUUUGCCAGCUGAUACAUUUUUCUAUCCCACCCUUAUGCUGAUAUUGUAGCCUUUCAAAGUUCUAGCUCUAUUUGAACAGUUCAGUUCUUGUACUUCACUUGUGUAGGCUCUAUAGGGGGCUUCAGCUUCAAGAGUUUCUGUGUUUACUUACUGCUAUUUCCUUCUUUCUUGUUUGCUCAGACCCCUGAGGAUUUUCCUUCCCUUUUUCCAGUUAAGCUCUAUAUUUAAAAGGCCAUUUGUUAUAGUUUACCCAGUAUGUCAAGAUGUUUCUCUAAAUCUCUUAAGGUUUCAUAUUUGUGGAAAUGGUUCAUGUCUUUAAGAUAAAGGGGGAGGUAGGUAUUAAAUGGAAUUUUGUAAUGAAUCUCCAUAUUUUUGGCCACUAUUUUAUACCAUGAUCAAUUUUACCUAUUAAUAUUAAAUAAGAGUUGUCUGUAAUAGGCAUUCAGCAGUCAGUCCUCAAUAUUAGUACUUGGUAGAAAAUUGAAGUUUAAGGGAAGCUGAAAUCAUUCUUUAAAAAGAACACUAUAUAUUUAAUUACAUAAAUUCACCUGAAAUAAUUGGCUGCUUAAUUCAGCUUUUAGCUAUAGUGACUUUUUCUACAGAGACAGCAAUUCUAAUUGGGAGAUGAUUUGGGAAAUGAAAAAAAAUUAUUCCUUUCCUUUCUUAAUUUCCAUCUAUAUUCAGACUCAGAUUCUCAACAGGUCUAGAUUUUUGCCUCCUUCCCCAGGUGACACUUGGCGAUAUCUGUAGACUUUUUUGGGUAGGGGAGGGUGCUGGUGUCAUCUUGUGGGUAAAGUCCAGGGAUGCUGAUAAGAGUCCUAGAAUUCAACGGACAGCCCCUAAAACAAAGCAUUAUCUGGCCUAAAUUGUAAGUGAUGUUUUGGCUGAGAAACCCUAUUUAUAAAGGGAGUUAUAACUUAGUCACCUACCUGAAAUUGAUAAAUCUUAUUUAUAAACUGUAUUUUAAAUUAAAAUUACUCAUACACAUGGGAGAUUCAUACACAUGUACUUCCUUAACAAUUCUGGGUAUAUCUGUUAUUGAUGAAAGAAUACCUAGGGUACCAAGGUCAUCCCUCUCAUUAUCCAUAUAUAAGGUAUUUAAUUAGAACCAAUAAGCCAUUGAAAAGUGAACAAGUAGCUACAUUUAGCUUUAGCUUAGAUAUAUAAAACAAUCCAGUAAUUUUUGUUUUCUGAUAGUGAUAUAAUCAACCCAAUUUCAUCCCUUUAAUCUGUAUGGUAUAUAUAUACCUACCUUCCCCAUAAAAAGAACCCUACAUCUUUUUUAUAGAUGUCCUUAAGAAAUACAGAAUCAAGGUUUUAAAAAUAGAUUUUACCUUUUCUUAAAGGGUAGAAAACACAUAGAAUCUUCCUAACUAGUGAUGUAGUCAUGACACAAACAAGUUAGUUUUGAAGUAGUCCAUAUCACUUUUCCAUAUUCAUGUGCAUGUACUUCAUAUUUGUUUUUAUAUGUGUCAUGAAAAUGAAAGAUUUAUAGUAUUGCUUUCUCAUUGUGGUCUUUACUGAGCAGGGUACUUUCCUUCCUAUUAUUGUUUUUUCUUUUUUAAUUUAACAUUGUAAUCUUAAAAAUUUUUUUGACUUAAAAAUUGGAAAAACAGUAGAGUUAUUUUAUGCCUUUUACCAAGUUUCUCCUAAUGUGGACAUAUUAUGUAACAAUAGUAUAAUUGUCAAUAAAAGGAAAUCCAACAAUUAGUACAAUAUCACUAACUAAACUACAAAUCUUACUGGUUUUUCUAGCAAUGUCUUUUUCGUGUUCUAGGAUCCAAUGCAGCAUCCCAUGUUGCAUUUAGUUGAUAUGUCUCCUUAGUCUUCUCUCCUCUGCCAGUUCUUAAGUCUUUCUUUGCUGUUCAUGAAAUUGAUACUUGAAGAAUACUCUGGUCAGUUAUAUUGUAGAAUGUCUCUCAGUCCAGGAUUACCUGAUGUUUUUUAUUGAGUGGAUUUAGGUUAUGUUUUUUGGCAACAACAUCAUAGAAGUGAUACUGUGUCCUUCUUAGUUCAUCAUCUCAAAAGGUAAAUGAUGUUAAAAUGUCUUAUUACUGAUGAUGUUAUGCCGGAGUCCAGCUCCAGCAAGUCCAGGAGUCCCUGAAGGAUGGACGGCGUAGGUGACUAACUGAAAUGAAUGAGGACAGAGACACUAGCAAAAGUUGGGCCUGGCCUUUAAUGAAAAGUAGCAGCUUGUUUUUAUACUCUUUGAUUACAUAAAGUAAAGUGCAGGCAUUGAUCAUUUAUUUGACACAUAGCAUGGUUACAGGAGUUUGGAAAAUUAGAUUAAAUCACUUGGCCUUAUUCCUAGUUAUUGUGGUCAGAAAAUCUUGCAAAGGUUAGGUAGGUGCCAGACUCUUGGUUUCUUUACAUAUGACUAUCUAAAGUUCACUAUUCUAUUAUUUUUAUGUAGGACCCUCAUUUUUUCAUUGUUAUACUCCCAUUCUUCAUCUCUGGUAGGGAAGAAAGCAGCUCUCUAAAAGGACACGAUGACUUUUUGGCAGGCAGGGACAAAUUUUAUGUACUGUGCCUCAGACCCAUUUUCAGUAAGACUUACAGUGGAGAUUUUUCUAAUCUGGAGUUAGGUAAUGCCCUGUUCUCAUUUGUUUUAUAGUUUGCCAGGCUGUUCUCUGGCAGGCUAGCCAAAGAAUAUCAUUUGUUCUCUGUACCCACCUGUCACCAUUAAUCAUUGAAAAUACCAUUUGGAGGCCACAUAGGGGUGGGGGAAGGGACCUCAACCCAGGUAAAUUUUCCAUAUCUUUUUUCCCAUAAACUUGGGUCCAGUACUCAUGGGGUCUCACUUUCCCAUCAUCGGGGGUAGUCACAAGGGCAGUAGUGGUUUUUUCCAAUUUCCUUUAGGGCCAGUACCCAAAAUUUUCAGGGAGAAAUGGAUAUGGCCUCUUCUCUGAAGGGGCAGCUUGAAUUGAAACCGAAAUAAGCAAAUUUAUUAGGAGGGACAUUUUGAGCAGGAGGGAUAUUGGGGUUUUUCCUUUAGGAAGGACGCUGAGCAGUCCCUUCCAUCCAACUGCCAGGACUGUGUCAUCAGGCUGGUGGUUCAGACUGGCUCCCGACAAUGUUAUCCUUGAACAACUAUUUAACUUAAAGUUUGCUCCACAAGAACUUAAAAGAAAUGCCAAGAAGUGCAAUAAAAAAGAAAAAGCUGAAACGAUAAAGACUAAAAAGUAAGGUAACCAAGUCCAUGGCAGGUGUAAUUAAGUCUAUGGAUGCUACACUGAGGAGUAUAAACCUUGAAAAGAUUCUGCCCUGGUGGACAAAGUUGAAACACUGUAUGUUCAAACACAACAAAUGGAAGACACAAUGAGUACCACUACAACCCUAACACCAUCACAAAGCCAGGUGGAUAUGCUGCUUCAAGAAAUGGCAGAUAAGCAGGGAUCUUGCAGAAGAACACUGCUAUCAUCAGGUCAUUAAGUCUAAAGCCCACUACAAGUCCUACAAACUGAGCAGUAUGUGCAAAAUGUCUUAAGGGGUUGAAAAGAUGACAUUAUUGAAGAUGGUCAUUUGUUUUAUAAAGGCUGGAGGCACCAGGGGAAGAGGUGAGCCUGCUGGACAAGCUCAGGCCUCACCAAACAAGGCGAAGAGACCAACAGGUUCCGGUCUGACAAUGUUCCAGAAACUGAUCAGAUAACAUUCCUAACUAGAGCCCUCCCCAGGCUAGAAGAAUAGUGGUAACUGUCCAGUACCUGGCUAAAAGCCAAUGAGAGACCCCCACGUACCCUAGGCAAGCCAAUCCUCAUGCCACUGUAUACCUUUGCUCUCCCUCCCACUUACUUCUUUAAAAACUUGCUGCCUG